GACGAACGCUGGCGGCGUGCCUAAUACAUGCAAGUCGAACGAGAGCGACCGGUGCUUGCACUGGUCAAUCUAGUGGCGAACGGGUGAGUAACACGUGGGUAACCUGCUCAUCAGAGGGGGAUAACAUCCGGAAACGGAUGCUAACACCGCAUAGGUCUUCGAGCCGCAUGGCUUGAAGAGGAAAAGAGGCGCAAGCUUCUGCUGAUGGAUGGACCCGCGGUGCAUUAGCUAGUUGGUGAGGUAACGGAUCACCAAGGCCGUGAUGCAUAGCCGACCUGAGAGGGUGAUCGGCAACAUUGGGACUGAGACACGGCCCAAACUCCUACGGGAGGCAGCAGUAGGGAAUCUUCCGCAAUGGACGCAAGUCUGACGGAGCAACGCCGCGUGAGUGAAGAAGGUUUUCGGAUCGUAAAACUCUGUUGUUAGAGAAGAACAAGUGCUAGAGUAACUGUUAGCGCCUUGACGGUAUAUAACCAGAAAGCCACGGAUAACUACGUG
rnacentral:rRNA from 1 species